UUAUNUAGGAAGNAAUAGACCUUGCGAGGNAAGUUGACGGUACUAUAUGNAUAAGCACCGGCUAACUCCGUGCCAGCAGCCGCGGUAAUACGGAGGGUGCAAGCGUUGUCCGGAUUUAUUGGGUUUAAAGGGUGCGUAGGCGGUUUAUUAAGUCAGUGGUGAAAGACGGUCGCUCAACNAUUGCAGUGCCAUUGAUACUGGUAGACUUGAGUGGGAUUGAGGUAGCUGGAAUGGAUAGUGUAGCGGUGAAAUGCAUAGAUAUUAUCCAGAACACCAAUUGCGUAGGCAAGUUACUAAGUCUCAACUGACGCUGAGGCACGAAAGUGUGGGUAUCAAACANGGAUUAGAUACCCUGGUAGUCCACACUGUAAACGAUGAUAACUAACUGUUGGCUUUCGGGUCAGUGGUACNGAGAAAUCGUUAAGUUAUCCACCU
rnacentral:rRNA from 1 species